rnacentral:sRNA from 1 species
UUGGUAGCUUGAGGCACCCAACCAGGAAGGUGUGAAGCAGAUAUUUUGGGGCGAAUCUUCUGAGAGAAGUCUGUAAGAAGGGGUUGAUUGCAUCCACACUCGUCCCCCUUUCUUCCUGGGACAGAAAUAUGGAGCAGCUACAACUCUAGAUACCAUGUUGUGCCUGGAGAUUAUCCUGAAGCAGGGACGGAGGAUGGAGGAAGAAAAGACAGAAGCAGCCGGUGACACUGUGAGUCCUAGACCAGUCCACCGUGCUUUCAGAGUUUGUUCCCAGAUCGUCUUUUCUGAUGAUCUCAAGAUGCCUGCAGAGGACACAAUUUGAUUUGUGUUUGUUCAUGUUCAGUGAGAAGAAACUUUCCCAGAAGUCCCUGGCAAAGCAUCCUAACCCGGAGCCACAGAGAAGUCAUUUCCUCCUUUCUAAAGAGAGGUAAACGGAGGUACAAAGAAGUCUCCACAUUUAUGGGCAUCAUCUCCCCUCCUUUCCAGAAGGGAACUGAGAUUGGAGUAUGCAUCUGGGUGAAAGAGAACAAGAAAACUACCUCUGCAGGGGAGGUGACCCAUGUGGCUGGCCUGCUGUAGGUCACCACCCUGCAGUCUCCCAAGCAGCCACCCCUGCUCACAGGGGCAUGCUGCCUUUCUCACAUCCAGUCAAGAAGACCCAACUGUGGCAAAGAGGCUCUGAGCAAGUGGUUUCAGUGGUCCCCUAGGCAGCAGGGACAUCUGACCCAGCUCUGUAGCUUGGAGACACUUCUCAGGCUGAUCACCCUUUAUGCUUUUCAGUUUGAUUUAGAAUUCCUUAAGAUUUGUCUCAAAUGUCUUUAACGGCCUGCAGGUCUCCCAAG